rnacentral:ncRNA from 1 species
ACAAAGGCUCUUUUAAGAGCCACCCACACGAUCCACGAGAGAGCUG